GGCGGCCUCGGGUCCAUCCCGAGGCCACGCCCGUCUGAGGGUCGGCU
rnacentral:rRNA from 1 species